AGAGUUUGAUCAUGGCUCAGGAUGAACGCUAGCGGCAGGCUUAACACAUGCAAGUCGAGGGGUAACAGAGAGUGCUUGCACUCUGCUGACGACCGGCGCACGGGUGAGUAACGCGUAUGCAACCUACCUUUUACAGGGGAAUAGCCCAGAGAAAUUUGGAUUAAUACCCCAUAUUAUCUUUUUUUCGCAUGAAUUAGAGAUGAAAGUUUCGACGGUAAAAGAUGGGCAUGCGUCCUAUUAGUUUGUUGGUAAGGUAACGGCUUACCAAGACUUCGAUAGGUAGGGGCCCUGAGAGGGGGACCCCCCACACUGGUACUGAGACACGGGCCAGACUCCUACGGGAGGCAGCAGUGAGGAAUAUUGGACAAUGGAGGAAACUCUGAUCCAGCCAUGCCGCGUGCAGGAUGAAUGCCCUAUGGGUUGUAAACUGCUUUUAUACAGGAAGAAACAUUUCCACGUGUGGAAACUUGACGGUACUGUAAGAAUAAGGAUCGGCUAACUCCGUGCCAGCAGCCGCGGUAAUAC
rnacentral:rRNA from 1 species